GUGGACCGGUUAGACAGCUUUUACAGACAAGGUGGGACUCUAAACAGCACUACAAGCUUGAAGAUCUCUAACCUUGUCGACAAUUUUGUCUCACAGGUGAAAGAUGAGGGGAAACUUGAAGCUCCUCCUCCUGCUGAUUGCCUUGGCGGCCAUGAUGCCGGAUGGUGCUGAUGCUGGAGUGAUCCUCCCCAAACAGGAUGGUGACGACAACAACAUCCGGGCCAAUGUAGAGCGCAAGCCUCGUGACCUGGCACCACGUUGCCUUUGCGCCCUGGACCCCCAAUGUUGUUCUGGCUGAAGAAUGGUGACAAAUCAUCAUGAACAGGGCAUAUGUUUCCUGACUUCCUUUACAUUAAAUCACUGUAGUUUUAAGCACAUCUUACAAAUUAGAAUAAAGUUUGCCUACAUUGUACUAGCUUUUUCAAGGUUGCAGCAUUCAUUUUUUCUUCUUCUAGACUAUUCUGUACAGUCAUUAAUAAGGUUGUAGCAUCGAUGUUUUGUUUUUCUCUCGACAAUUAAAAUCCCUCUGGGGAAUUAUUUGAUAAAUAGCUAGAUGGCUAUAAAUUUUGAAACACAUGUGCACAAUUUGCACUUUCAGUUUUGGGUGUCAAAAGUCAGAAAAUGAGUAGACAGUUAUUUUGUGCUUUCCCAACUUUCAGUAUAUCAUGAACUUUCAGAAUAAACAAAUGACUACUUUAUAACACGUAAUUAUCCCAGUCGGCCUAAGAACAGCAUAUAUACUUCACAUAAAUGCGUUUUUAUUUAGUUAUGGCAUGACAUAUAUGCCAUUAGAAAACUGUUUUUUUAAGUUUUCCCUAAAAUUUAGAAUUUUUCUGUUUAAAUAUACGUUGUAAAGAUAACAUCACUUUAAUGCGAUACGAUCAUCUAACAGCAUUAUCUAAAAGAACAACGAUUUGAAAGUGAAUGUGAAUGAAUUGAUUUGACAUGAAUUGUUGCCACCAAAGCGUAUGGCCUUUACCUUUCGAUACGGUCUAUAAGAACGUCAUCAGAACAAGCGAAGAAGCUGACUUUUAGAAAUGAUAUUAUGAGAAACAUGUAAAAUUGACAUUAUCUGGACAGACGCAUUUGCAGAUUUUCUUAGUUAUUCCAUUAUCUGUACUCCUAUCAAUUAAGGUGGCAAUAAAUUACGGUUUAAGGACC